UGGCAACGAUGAAUCAAAAGCCGGACUUACGGCUGCUUCCGUUUGGACGGUAGUAGAUUGAUAAUAUAAUUAAAAAGUCAU